CAGUAGCCGCGGGAAUACAGAGGGUGCAAGCGUUAAUCGGAAUUACUGGGCGUAAAGCGCGCGUAGGUGGUUCGCCAAGUUGGAUGUGAAAUCCCCGGGCUCAACCUGGGAACUGCAUCCAAAACUGGCGAGCUAGAGUAUGGUAGAGGGUGGUGGAAUUUCCUGUGUAGCGGUGAAAUGCGUAGAUAUAGGAAGGAACAUCAGUGGCGAAGGCGACCACCUGGACUGAUACUGACACUGAGGUGCGAAAGCGUGGGGAGCAAACAGGAUUAGAUACCCCUGUAGUCCCUGUCUCUUAUAC
rnacentral:rRNA from 1 species